CCCUUAGAUGUCCUGGGCCGCACGCGCGUUACACUGAUGCAUUCAACGAGCUUAUAACCUUGGCCGAGAGGCCCGGGCAAUCUUGUUAACGUGCAUCGUGAUAGGGAUAGAUUAUUGAAAUUAUUAAUCUUGAACGAGGAAUUCCUAGUAAACGCAGAUCAUCAAUCUGCAUUGAUUACGUCCCUGCCCUUUGUACACACCGCCCGUCGCACCUACCGAUUGGAUGGUCCGGUAAAGCCUCGGGAUUGUGGUUCUUGCCGCUUUAUUGUGGCGUGACCGCGAGAACUUGUCUAAACCUUAUCAUCUAGAGGAAGGUGAAGUCGUAACA
rnacentral:rRNA from 1 species